rnacentral:rRNA from 1 species
AACGAACGCUGGCGGCAGGCUUAACACAUGCAAGUCGAACGCCCCGCAAGGGGAGUGGCAGACGGGUGAGUAACACGUGGGAACAUGCCCAAAGGUACGGAAUAUUCUCGGGAAACUGGGAGCAAUACCGUAUGUGCCCGAAAGGGGAAAGAUUUAUCGCCUUUGGAUUGGCCCGCGUUGGAUUAGCUAGUUGGUGGGGUAAAAGCCUACCAAGGCGACGAUCCAUAGCUGGUCUGAGAGGACGACCAGCCACACUGGGACUGAGACACGGCCCAGACUCAUACGGGAGGCAGCAGUGGGGAAUCUUGGACAAUGGGCGCAAGCCUGAUCCAGCCAUGCCGCGUGAGUGAUGAAGGCCCUAGGGUUGUAAAACUCUUUCGUGGGGGACGAUAAUGACGGUACCCCAAGAAGAAGCUCCGGCUAACUUCGUGCCAGCCGCCGCGGUAAUAC